ACCCUUUCAGUCUUACAUAUCCCAUCAGCAAGGGGUAUGUUUGGUCUUUCCAGUAUAAAAAUAAAGACACCUUGUGUUGUUAUUUUUGAACCUAAUCAAUGAUAGGUUAACACAAAGCCAAACAACAGAAACCUCCCAGGAAUUUUGGCAUUGGCUCAUCGAGGUGAAGACAUCAGCUUUCAGUCAAAGUAACAACACAUUUGUUGUUCAGCUUUAGCCAGUAACGACUGACCCAUGGAGGAUGGCAUAGACAGUCCAGUGGCCGUGAAGGUGGAGGGCCACUCCCGCAGCGUGAUCCUGAGGUACUUCCGGGGCGACAUCGGGAGUAUGGUGGACGCCCACUUCAACCGUGCUCUCAGCAAAGACUUCAAAAACAACUUGCUGGUUGUCAAGCCCAAGAAAAUGCGUAAAAACAUCAAAUUAGAGGAGAGCAGCACUUCUCAGGCUAACCUGGCCGAGCCGCUCCCCGUGACGGGACGCUACUUGGCUUUCGGCUCUACCGACAACCCUUCCAGGCCAUGGCACUCGUUCAUCGCCAGGACCGGGGAGGCUUCGGGGUUGCCGUCCGCCAUGUAUUCGGCGGAAGACCUGAGCUUGACCGGGCAGCAGUACACCUCGUCCCUGCUCAACCUCCUGCACAGCGACCGCGCCGAGAUGGGGCCUGGCGUGGCUUCCAGCUCCAAGGCGGAACAUCCGGCCAACUGGAUGGUGCCUCAAGGAUUUAGAGACUCUGUGGAGCCUGCUGGAGGCUUUGAGCAUGGACAACGUCUGGACAAGAAAGACUUGUAUUGGUACUAAGAGGACCGUGUGGUGGGCGACGGCACAGAGACUACACCGGAGUCAUCAUCAUCAUCUUCAUCAUCAUCAGCAGCAGCAACAGGAGCAGCAACAGGAAAUGUUGAUUCUCUUCUUGCACUUGUCAGCGACAUGACGUCAGCACCUCAGCAUGUGGCGGUAGAAAGGAACCGAACCCGUUGAUAACAAAUGGAUGAGAUCAUCAUCUGAAAAGGGGGAUUUGUUGGAAGUAGGCUGCUGCUGGGUUAGCAUUGCUGCUGUAUCAAGUAAGUACUGUACAUUACCCCUAACCUCGCGGGCUUGUCGUUCGCCCUGGAAUCCUCUAAAUCUUCUGCACCAAUCCCUGGGUUAUGCCUUAGAGCGUUUGCCUAUCCCCGUGGCUGUUUGGUGUUUUGCUACGAUGAUAACAUAGUGUGAGUAUUUUUGUUUUGCUAUCUAUGGAUUACGGAUUACAACGAUGAUGAAGUGUGAAUUCCCCGUCCUGCUACCUGUGAAUUAUGUAGCAAGCAUUACAGGGCCUGACCCUCAAUACAUUCACAAUCUUCAGAGACUGGAUUUUUGAAGCUCUCGAAAUUCAAUUCCAACUAUUCCUGUAGUUCAGUGUACAGUAGACCACCACAUAUUCACAGUGCGACAUUCACAACUUCAUGUAUUCACAGAUUUUCUUUUUCCAACACGGUAUAUUUAAUAUUUACAUUAAUGGGACUUUGGGUCUCAACAACUGACAGACUUUUUUAGCCACUUACACACUUCUAAAGUGUGAUCUAAUAAUUUGCCGAGUAGAAUGGAAACCUACUGCUGCUGCAUGGAGAUCAAUAGCGCCAUCAUCAUGCUUCGCUGAAUGCCCACGAUUUUAUCACCUUAAGCAAAGUGUCAGGUGGAGAUGGGCUUCAAAUUGGGCCGCACAAGAGCCGUUAUUUUGACACUCCUCAUAAUCAUCUACGAACCCAUUUUCUGCUUGACAGAGGACAAAGAGGAAACUCAUAAUUACAGUGGACUUUUUUUUUUCUUCCUUUAUCGAUUCGUCAGGCCUUUAUUGUCGAAACCUUCCUGCACCUUGUUUGGCUACGUGAGAAUGAUUAUAUUUGUAAGGUGUUGAUAUAGUUAGCAACUGCCACAUGAAUUGAGGUGUCUAUGAUUUAGUCACAUUUAUACGUGUAAAAAUAUGUUAUAUAAUAGGUUGUAUGUUAUGCUUUAUCAUGCUUUUUGUGUCUCUUUUAUUGAUAUUAUCUGCUGUUAGCCUAAUAACAUAAUUGCUUAGGUCAUUUUUUUAACAUUUUUUGAAAGAAAAAAAAAAACUAACUCAACAAACAAGAGUCUCGUUGCUUUGAGUCAAACAUUUUGGAUUACCCUGACCUGGAUGUCUGACAAUCUACACAAAAAGCACAUUGAUAUUUUUUAUUGAUGGCUUAUAGGCAAUUAUGGAUUCUUAUGCAUUUAGGCUAAAGAUGGAUACCUGUCCUUGUUAGUACCUCUCAUAUUGUCACUGUCGCGUGGAAUCCUUCCAUUUCCGAAAUGACUACAUCUCCGGAAAUUUAAAAAAAUUAAAAAACACACCAUCUUGCUUGUUACCAAAUACCGCAUCGUUCAAGUUGAUAUUAUACCAUACUGCUAUCAUAUACCAUUGCGCACUAACAUCAACACAACACCCCCGAGAAUCAUGUUAAGUCACUAAUUUACACUGCGUUCUAAAUUGCUGUAUAAUGCAAAUUAUAUUUGUCUCUGAUUUUCCUGAAUAGUCAAUGCAAAUGACAGUCAUCAUAAUUUUCAAGUCAUCAAUAUCUAAGAGUAAAAAAAAUAUAUAUUUACCGGCAUUACCAGAUAACGAGCAACCCUUUAUUACUCAGUGACUGUUUUUUGUCAAUAUCUUUAUGUCUCAAAAGUAUUCUCUGUCAAUUGACUGUCUGUUGUCGUACCAGAGCGGCUCCAACUACCGGAGACAAAUUCCUCGUGUGUUUUUUGGACAUACUUGGCAAAUAAAGAUGAUUUUGAUUCUGA